UGGGAUGUAGCCAAGUGGUAAGGCAACGGACUUUGACUUCGUUAUGCGCAGGUUCGAAUCCUGCCAUCCCAG
rnacentral:tRNA from 1 species